UACGUAGGAGGCAAGCGUUAUCCGGAAUGACUGGGCGUAAAGGGUGCGUAGGUGGUUUGGCAAGUUAGUAGCGUAACCCCGGGGCUCAACCUCGGAACUACUACUACAACUGUCGGACUUGAGUGCAGGAGGGGCAAUUGGAAUUCCUAGUGUAGCGGUGGAAUGCGUAGACAUUAGGAGGAACACCAGUGGCGAAGGCGAAUUGCUGGACUGUAACUGACACUGAGGCACGAAAGCGUGGGGAGCAAACAGG
rnacentral:rRNA from 1 species